rfam:Schistosoma curassoni strain Dakar, Senegal genome assembly, scaffold: SCTD_scaffold0000670
GUCCAGAUGACGAGUCCCAAAUAGGAUCAAACGCACAUCCUGGAU